rnacentral:snRNA from 1 species
GUGCUCACUUCAGCAGCACAUAUACUAAAUAACACAGAGAAGAUUAGCAUGGCCCCUGCACAAAGAUGACAUGCAAAUUCGUGAAGCAUUCCAUAUUAAG